UACGAAGGGUGCAAGCGUUACUCGGAAUUACUGGGCGUAAAGCGUGCGUAGGUGGUUUGUUAAGUCUGUUGUGAAAGCCCCGGGCUCAACCUGGGAAUGGCAAUGGAUACUGGCAGGCUAGAGUGCGGUAGAGGGUAGUGGAAUUCCCGGUGUAGCGGUGAAAUGCGUAGAGAUCGGGAGGAACACCAGUGGCGAAGGCGGCUACCUGGGACGGUACUGACGCUGAGACGCGAAAGCGUGGGGAGCGAACAGG
rnacentral:rRNA from 1 species